rnacentral:misc_RNA from 1 species
GUUGAUCUUGAGUUUGAUUCCAUAGUGCACGCCUGUGAGAAGGCUAGGCAAGUGACCGACCCAUAUCGCAGACUCAUGAAAAGGCCAAGCAGGCCACCUCUAGUGAUAGCCAUCUUACUGCAAAUUUUCCAGCAAUUCACAGGGAUCAAUGCCAUUAUGUUUUAUGCACCUGUUCUCUUCCAGACUGUAGGAUUUGGAAAUGACGCUUCUUUGCUUUCAUCUGUUAUAACCGGCGGUGUCAAUGUUCUAUGCACUAUAGUUUCAGUCGUCCUUGUAGAUAGGGCUGGCAGGAGGAUUCUGCUACUUGAAUCUUGCGUACAGAUGCUUAUUACCCAGACUAUCAUUGGAAUUAUCCUGAUGAAGGAUUUGAAAGCCACAGGCGAUCUACCAAGUGGAGAAGCGUUAGUUGUGGUGGUCAUGGUGUGUGUGUUCGUUGCUGGGUUCUCAUGGUCAUGGGGGCCUCUGGGUUGGUUAAUUCCAAGCGAGACUUUCCCUCUUGAGACAAGAACAGCUGGGUUUUCCUUUGCGGUGAGCACCAACAUGCUCUUCACCUUCAUCAUCGCACAAGCUUUCUUGUCGAUGCUAUGCAAAAUGCAAGCCGGGAUUUUCUUUUUCUUCGCAGCUUGGAUCUUUGUAAUGAUGUCCUUUGCCUUAUUUUUCAUCCCGGAGACAAAAGGCGUUCCCGUAGAUGUCAUGGUUGAUAAAGUUUGGAAGCAACACUGGUUCUGGCGUAGAUAUUUUGAUGAAGAUAAAGAAGAAUCCGUCAAGAAAGGCCCAGAACUCAUUCAUCCACACAUGACUUGAACGAAAAAACAAGUAGGAAAUGAAAGAUCCACAAUUGAGAGACCAAUUGAAGGUGGUGCAUCGUUGUAAAUUUCAAAAUUACACCAAUUUGUUGAUGUCAUUGAAUCACAAUUUCCCUUUUUGAGAGUCAAAAAUAAUCAAAGACCCUUCUGUUGGUUUUUCACAUUUUCGAAAAACUAAUCAGAAGGGAUUCCUUAGUUUUGCUUUGCCAUUCAAUAAGGCAAAACAAUUGGUAAAUGUACAUACUGCUCUCCAGCUUUCAUCUACUCUCGAGAGUGUG